CAGCCGCCGCGGUAAUACCGGCGGCCCGAGUGGCGGUCACUAUUAUUGGGCUUAAAGCGUCCGUAGCCGGGUUGGGAAGUCCUCCGGGAAAUCUGGCCGCUUAACGGUCAGAAUGCCGGAGGAUACUCCCAGCCUAGGGAGCGGGAGAGGCCGAGGGUAUUCCCGGAGGAGGGGUGAAAUCCUAUAAUCCCGGGAGGACCACCUGUGGCGAAGGCGCUCGGCUGGAACGCGUCCGACGGUGAGGGACGACGGCCAGGGGAGCAAACCGGAUUAGAUACCCGGGUAGUCCUGGCUGUAAACGAUGCGGACUUUGUGUCGGACAAGCUAUGAGCUUGUCCGGUGCCGGAGGGAAACCGUUAAGUCCGCCGCCUGGGGAGUACGGCCGCAAGGCUGAAACUUAAAGGAAUUGGCGGG
rnacentral:rRNA from 1 species